GGUCAGAGAGAUCAAGCUGCUUCUCAUACUUGGCCCAGGAUACGGGCUGCGUCUAGGACUGUUGCGGUGUUACCACCAUAUUACCGCCACACUGGUAGUCAUGAGUCAUAACCGCAGUGAAAUUCCAAUUACAUUUACAUUUAAGUCAUUUAGCAGACGCUCUUAUCCAGAGCGACUUACAAUUGACAGUUGAUUCACGGUAAUCUCCUUUUAUGCACUGUGGACAUGCUUUGGUAGUACCUAACCUGCUAACUACCAUCAGGUGCUAAUGGCCUGGUACUCAGGGCUAUAUUGCUACAAUCAGGCCUGGUACUCAGGGCUAUAUUGCUACAAUUGCUACAAUCAGGUCCUAAUGGCCUAGUACUCAGGACUAUAUUGCUACCAUCAGGUCCUAAUGGCCUAGUACUCACGACUAUACUGCUACCAUCAGGUCCUAAUGGCCUGGUACUCAGGGCUAUAUUGCUACAAUGAGGUCCUAAUGACCUGGUACUCAGGGCUAUAUUGCUACAAUGAGGUCCUAAUGACCUUGUAUUCAGGGUUAUAUUGCUACCAUCAGGUCCUAAUGACCUGGUACUCAGGGCUAUAUUGUGUCUCCAUCAGGUCCUAAUGGCCUAUUACUCAGGGCUCUAUUGUUUCUCCAUUAGGUCCUAAUGGCCUGGUACUCAGGGUUCUAUUGUCCCUCCAUCAGGUCCUAAUGGCCUGUUACUCAGGGUUCUAUUGUCCCUCCAUCAGGUCCUAAUGGCCUGGUACUCAGGGCUCUAUUGUCCCUCCAUCAGGUCCUAAUGGCCUGGUACUCAGGGUUCUAUUGUCCCUCCAUCAGGUCCUAAUGGCCUGGUACUCAGGGUUCUAUUGUGUCUCCAUCAGGUCCUAAUGGCCUGUUACUCAGGGUUCUAUUGUCCCUCCAUCAGGUCCUAAUGGCCUGGUACUCAGGGCUCUAUUGUUUCUCCAUCAGGUCCUAAUGGCCUGGUACUCAGG
rnacentral:lncRNA from 1 species